GUCGGGAAUUUUGGGCAAUGGGCGAAAGCCUGACCCAGCAACGCCGCGUGAAGGAUGAAAUCCCUCGGGAUGUAAACUUCGCAAGAACGGGAAGAAUAAGUAAGGGUUAAUAUCUCUUACGAUGACGGUACUGUUUGUAAGCUCCGGCUAACUCCGUGCCAGCAGCCGCGGUAAUACGGGGGGAGCAAGCGUUGUUCGGAUUUACUGGGCGUAAAGGGCGCGUAGGCGGCCACCGCAAGUCGACUGUGAAAUCUCCGGGCUUAACCCGGAAAGGUCAGCCGAUACUGCGGGGCUAGAGUGCAGAAGGGGCAACUGGAAUUCUCGGUGUAGCGGUGAAAUGCGUAGAUAUCGAGAGGAACACCUGCGGCGAAGGCGGGUUGCUGGGCUGACACUGACGCUGAUGCGCGAAAGCUAGGGGAGCGAACGGGAUUAGAAACCCUUGUAGUCC
rnacentral:rRNA from 1 species